rnacentral:lncRNA from 13 species
AGGCAAGAUGCAGUGGAUGGUAUAGAGUACAGUAUAUACAUAUGAGAUGAGUAAUGUAGGGUAUGUAAACAUUAUAUAAAGUGGCAUUUUUUUUAAAGUGGCUAAAUGAUACAUUUAUUACAUCCAAUUAUUAAAUAUUAAAGUGGCUAGAGAUUAAGUCAGUAUGUUGGCAACAGCCAUUCAAUGUUAGUGAUGGCUGUUUAACAGUCUGAUGGCCUUGAGAUAGAAGCUGUUUUUCAGUCUCUCGGUCCCUGCUUUGAUGCACCUGUUCUGACCUCACCUUCUGGAUGAUAGCGNNNNNNNNNNCUCUGGUCCAUGUCGUUACGUGCAGCUUGCUGAUGCUGAGCCUUCAACUUAUUCUUGAAGAAGAGAAGGCGCCCUGGACUAGAGCUAACUAGGUCUAUUUUUCAACUGCACCUUGGCUUAUCUGAAUGUCAUUACCAACUUCUUAUCUUUCAUAUAGUGCUUUUUCAUUAGAUUCUAAGUCCCAUUCCAUUUUAGGUGGAGUUCUGAUUCUGUAAGACUGUAGCCUAUAGAAUGAAUUGUUGUAGGCCUGUGUAUCACAUGUUUAAUUGGUGAAAUGCUGUGUUUUCUAUGUUAUGUCUGCUGAAGAAUGUGAUUCUAGCCUAAUAAGGAGAGAAAACAUAUUGUAAAAGACAGAAUUGAACACAGGCUCAGAAAGGAAAAAGAUCAAAAUAAUAGUUUAUUAUUAGCAGCAUGGCAGAAGGCAACCAAACAGCCUGGGGAGGUGAAGAGGAGAAAUGGAGAACUGUGUGGGUGUGUUGAGAAAGGAUGGCUUUUCCAUAAUGCAAGGCAGGGUGUUCACCUCCAGUCAGGCCAGGCUGAGGCAGAGCUGGGUUAUCUCCCGAAUAGCACCCUAUUCCCUAUGUAGGCCACUAGGGCUACAUUGGCCCUCAUCAAACAGGCCCUCCACUAUGUCCCCUACAGAACCACGUCCCUAUAGGCCCUCCACUAUGUCCCCUACAGCACCACGUCCCUAUAGGACCUCCACUAUGUCCCCUACAGGCUAUCCUAGGGCUCCCACUAAGGGACAGGUUAUCCUAGGGCUCCCACUAAGGGACAGGUUACCUAGGGCUCCCACUAAAGGACAGGUUAACUAGGGCUCCCACUAAAGGACAGGUUAACUAGGGCUCCCACUAAAGGACAGGUUACCUAGGGCUCCCACUAAGGGACAGGUUCCCUAGUGAACCCACUAAAGGACAGGUUAACUAGGGUAAAAAGGGAUAUUGUUAAACCAGCAUAGAGACACCUAUUUCUUUCUUCUCUAUGUUUCUUUCCGUCUCAGCUUUGACGUCAGCCUGACUUGCGGCCGCGGCACAGAGAAGGAGGAGCCACAGCCGGAUGUGGCCCUGAAACUCAGCGCUCGAUUCGCUGAGCGCCAGUUUCUGCGUAACUCCUGCGUCUCGGGAAAAUGGAGCGAGGAGGAGAAGUCUAUCGACUACUUCCCCUUCAUCCCUGACCAGCCCUUCAGGGUACCUGUUACACUGAUCCUAACACCUAACCUGACCAGCCCUUCAGGGUACCUGUUACACUGAUCCUAACACCUAACCUGACCAGCCCUUCAGGGUACCUGUUACACUGAUCCUAACACCUAACCUGACCAGCCCUUCAGGGUACCUGUUACACUAAUCCUAACACCUAACCUGACCAGCCCUUCAGGGUACCUGUUACACUUAUCCAAACACCUAACCUGACCAGCCCUUCAGGGUACCUGUUACACUGAUCCUAACACCUAACCUGACCAGCCCUUCAGGGUACCUGUUACACUGAUCCUAACACCUAACCUGACCAGCCCUUCAGGGUACCUGUUACACUUAUCCAAACACUAAUCCUAACCUCUAAUCCUAACCCCUAAUCCUAACCCCUAAUCCUAACCUCUAAUCCUAACCUCUAAUCCUAACCUCUAAUCCUAACCUCUAAUCCUAACCCUUAAUCCAUAACCCUAACUGGACCAGGCCUUCAAGAUACCAUAACAAUCCACUCUCUUUUUAAAUUCUAACCCCUAACCCGACCAUCCCUUCAGGGUACCAAGAACACUUCACGUUCUUUUCCAACUUGUCCCAAAUGGCACCGCAUCCCCUUUCUAGUAGACUUCCUUUGUUUGACCAGAGUCCUAUGGGACCACAGUUAACUAGGGUCUUAACUUCAUGAUAAUUGGCCUUCCACCCUUAUCUCUAUCUCAUACACUCCCUCGCUCUACCAUUCUCUGACUCCUCUUUAGUUGCUGUGAUAUGAUUCAGUACAGACGUUAUGUAAAGAUAUAGCCCAGUGAUAAGGAACACACAUUGUUCCUUGUUGUGGUUUUAUUGUAAAGCAGGUUGCUCCAGUCACACAUUUGUCAGAGGAUGUGGUUUAGAGAUGUGAUAAGUUAUGCAAAACUAACAAGCUCUCUUUUAUUUGGAGAAAGAACCACAUGGCCACAUAAUGUGACUUUGUUUAGAAAUGGGGUGUUUUAUUCUGUUCUCUCUCUACCUCCUCUCUCCUCUCUCUCUCUCCUCUCUCUCCCCUCUCUCUCCUCUCUCUCCCCUCUCUCUCCUCUCUCUCUCUCCUCUCUCUCUCUCUCUACCUCCUCUCUCUACCUCUCCUCNNNNNNNNNNCUGUGAUAUGAUUCAGUACAGACGUUAUGUAAAGAUAUAGCCCAGUGAUAAGGAACACACAUUGUUCCUUGUUGUGGUUUUAUUGUAAAGCAGGUUGCUCC